GGUAUCAAGCGUGGAGAGCAAGUCAAGCCAUCCAAUGGCUGCUGCACUUCUGGACUAUGCAAAAUCUGUCUCUGUUGAACCUAAGCCUGAAUCUGUUGAAGACUACCAAAACUUUCCAGGAGAAGGCAUUUUUGGGAAGAUUGAUGGCAAAGAAGUCUAUAUUGGGAACAAAAGAAUUGCUUCCAGAGCUGGGUGUUCAUCAGGUAAUGCGAUGUUUUAGAUCAUUGAGGUUUUGGGUUCUUGUUUACUCUCUAAAGGUUUUUGGUUUUGGUGUAUGUGCACAGUUCCAGAUAUAGAUGUUGAUACUAAAGGAGGAAAGACGGUUGGAUACGUCUAUCUUGGAGAGACACUAGCCGGAGUUUUCAACCUCUCGGAUGCUUGUAGAUCAGGUGUAGCUCAAGCGAUGAAAGAACUCAAAUCUAUGGGAAUCAAAACUGCAAUGUUAACCGGAGAUAACCAAGCUUCAGCAAUGCAUGCUAAAGAACAGCUAGGUAACGUUAUGGACGUUGUUCAUGCGGAGCUUCUCCCUGAAGGCAAGUCCCAAAUCAUCAAAGAGUUUAAGAGAGAAGGUCCAACGGCUAUGGUGGGAGACGGUUUGAAUGACGCACCAGCUUUGGCAACAGCUGACAUUGGCAUCUCGAUGGGUGUUUCCGGCUCUGCGCUUGCUACAGAGACCGGUCACAUAAUCUUGAUGUCUAAUGACAUCAGGAGGAUACCGCAAGCGAUAAGGCUUGCGCGUAGGGGUAAAAGAAAAGUGGUGGAGAAUGUGGUUUUGUCUAUUACUAUGAAAGGAGCGAUUCUUGCUUUGGCUUUUGCUGGUCAUCCUUUGAUUUGGGCGGCUGUGCUUGCGGACGUGGGGACUUGUUUGCUUGUGAUCCUUAAUAGCAUGUUGUUGCUUCGAGAUGAGCACGUUCCUGGAGGGAAAUGUCAUAGGGCGGAGAAAGGUGAAGGUGAUGUUGUUGGAGACAUGGAAGCAGGUUUGUUACCGAAGCAUUGCAAGUCAGGCUGUUGUGGAAAGGAGAAGCAAGAGGUAGUGAUGAAACCGGCUAAAACUAGUUCGGGACAUGGGCACUCUGGUUGUUGUGACAAGAAACAUAAAGAUGAUGUGAUGAUUGUGAGAAAGAGCUGUGAAUCAAGGUGUUGUGGUGACAAGAUUCAGCAGCAACCAAACCAAGACGAGGUGAAACAGAGCUGUCACAACAAGGCUGGUGAGUUGAAGGAGAUAAGGCUGGACCUUGGUGAUAGUGAUUGCAAGUCGGGUUCACCAUUGGUCAAAGGUUGUUGCUCAAGGCCUGAUGCUGAUCCCGUGGUAGCUAGCUUGAAAGUGAAGAGUGAUGGGAGCUGCAGUGAAAGUUCAAGGAAAGGUAAUAACGAAGAGGCAUGUUGUGAGGUGAAAACGGCGUUCCGUUGGCUUGCCGUUGCAGCCGUCGUCGCCGGAAUAUAUCCAAUACUAGCUAAAUCUGUAGCAUCCAUUGCAAGGGCUAGAAUCGACAUCAACAUUCUUGUUGUAAUAACCGGUAAUGUUUUAGCUUCUUUUUUUUUUAAGCUUUUCUUUGCUUCUUUUCUGCUUAGUUAUUUACCCUAAAUUAAGAAGUGCUAUGAUUUAUGAGGAGUGAGUCUCCAAUUUUCUUAUAUGCGAAUCACAAUUCUUACAACAUUAACUAAGGUGAAUAUUUUUUAAAAAAAUGGUUAUAGUAGAUGGUGAAUAUUUUCUUGUGAUUUCAAAGUAGCAUUAAAAAGGCCAAAUGCAGAGGAAAAGAAACACAAAAACUACCGAACAAAACUGCUAUAUGUUGAUCAUUAUAUUCUAAACUGACCCAUCAUAAUGUUAUAUAGACACAUACUUAUAUCUACCAUCUACUAUAACCUCUGUUGAUCAAAAAGGUUAUAGUAGAUGGUAGAUAUAAGUAUGGGUCUAUAUAACAUUGUGAUGGGUCAAUUUAGAAUAUAAUGGUCAACAUAUAGAAGUUCUGUUCGGUAGUUUUUGUGUUUCUUUUCCUCUGCAUUUGGCAUUUUUAAUGGUACUUUGAAAUCACAAGAAAAGAAGAAAAGAAAAAGAAAAAAUGAAAGCUGCUUUCUUGCAACUUUUGUUUUUCGCUAAAACCAUUUUUAAAAUAUAGUUUCUUCUAUUUCUAAAAAGGCAUAAUGGACGUUAGAUUAGCAAUAAUUGCUCAUUCUGAAGCUAAAAUGUUUAAAAGUCAAAUAAUUACUCAAAAUAUGAAUUUAAGGCUUUAAAGCUAAUAAUACUCUUCUUUGUAUCAAACAGUGGGAGCAACACUCGGUAUGAGAGAUUACACAGAAGCUGCAGCAGUUGUCUUCUUAUUCACAAUAGCUGAAUGGCUCCAGUCUAGGGCUAGCUAUAGGGUGUUUGCUUCCACCAUUUUCCUUUUCUUGUCAUGCAAGUUUCCAAAAAUACUGUGAUUGAUUGAUUCAAGCAUUGGUUUUACUGUAAAUAAAAUUUCCAGGCAAGCGCGGUGAUGCAGUCACUGAUGAGUCUAGCUCCACAGAAGGCAGUGAUAGCAGAGACUGGAGAAGAAGUUGAAGUUGAUGAGCUCAAAAUCAACACUGUCAUAGCUGUCAAAGCUGGUGAAACCAUACCUAUUGAUGGAGUUGUUGUGGAUGGAAACUGUGAGGUUGAUGAGAAAACCUUGACUGGUGAAGCAUUCCCUGUGCCUAAACUGAGAGAUUCAACUGUUUGGGCUGGAACCAUCAAUCUAAAUGGUUACAUAACUGUGAAAACCACUGCUCUAGCUGAGGAUUGUGUGGUUGCUAAGAUGGCAAAGCUAGUGGAAGAAUCUCAGAACAGCAAAACAGAAACUCAGAGAUUUAUAGAUGAAUGUUCUAAGUACUAUACUCCAGGUUAGUAAGCAAAUCAGAAACUGAUUUCAAGUUCUUGAUGUUCUUGAUUGAGACCUCAUAUUCUCUUGCCUUGCAUGCAGCGAUCAUCCUCAUAUCGCUCUGUUUUGUGGUUAUCCCAUUCGCAUUAAAGGUUCACAACAUGAAACAUUGGCUGCACUUGGCCCUAGUUGUGCUAGUAAGUGCUUGUCCUUGUGGCCUUAUUCUCUCAACACCAGUAGCCAGUUUCUGUGCCCUCACUAAAGCAGCAACAUCAGGACUUCUGAUCAAAGAAGCUGAUUAUCUUGAGACCUUAGCCAAGAUCAAAACCGUUGCUUUUGACAAAACUGGGACCAUCACUAGAGGCGAGUUCAUAGUCAUGGAUUUCAAGUCACUCUCCAGAGAUAUAAGCCUGCACAGGUUGCUUUACUGGUGAGAAACAUCUAAUUCUCAUCUUUCAACCACUUUUCUUAACACUUUGUUUUAUUAAAACUUAUUUAGAACAUAUUACAUCGUUGGCAAGUAAGACAUAACGAAAAUGAAACACUAAUGGUCUUUUCCACACCUGGAGACCACCGAGGACAAACAUUAUUAUGACACGUUAGCGAUACCAAACUGAUCUUGUUUCAAAAUAAAUUAGAGUAGAUGUUCCCAGUCCAACAAUAUCAGACGGACUUUUAAUACUUUUAUCGGACACAUGACAAUAAUUCUCAUAGUCUAGAUAGAUCUUCUUCUUCAGUUGCCUAGAUAUUUUAACCACUUUAGUGAGAUACUUUGUGAAUUUUCCUGAGAGUUUUGGAAUGUGACUUCUGUUAGGGUAUCAAGCGUGGAGAGCAAGUCAAGCCAUCCAAUGGCUGCUGCACUUCUGGACUAUGCAAAAUCUGUCUCUGUUGAACCUAAGCCUGAAUCUGUUGAAGACUACCAAAACUUUCCAGGAGAAGGCAUUUUUGGGAAGAUUGAUGGCAAAGAAGUCUAUAUUGGGAACAAAAGAAUUGCUUCCAGAGCUGGGUGUUCAUCAG
rnacentral:lncRNA from 1 species